rnacentral:rRNA from 1 species
AUGCUUUUUAUCAAAAACAGGAAUAUUAUGGAUGGAGUGGUAUCUCUGCAUGAGAUCCUUCACCAUACUUAUGUUAAGAAAAAGUGCGGUAUUGUCAUUAAGCUCGACUUCGAGAAGGCUUAUGACAAGGUUAAUUGGGACUUUUUGUUAAAAUGCCUUGAGAAUAGAGGAUUUGGGAAAAUAUGGUGUGAGGGGAUGAGAAAGAUCCUCCAUAAUGGCACAGGUUGUGUCAAGUUAAACAACACUAUGGGUCCAUAUUUCCAAAGCUAUAAGGGGGUCAGGCAGGGGGAUCCUGUGUCCCCUUUCUUGUUUAAUAUAGCAGCUGAGUGCUUAUGCAAGAUGGUGCUUCAGGCACAAAAGAACAAUCUUUUUGUUUGA